CUGCUGCCUUCCGUAGGAGUCUGGGCCGUAUCUCAGUCCCAAUGUGGCCGGCCAACCUCUCAGUCCGGCUACUGAUCGUCGCCUUGGUGGGCCAUUACCUCACCAACUAGCUAAUCAGACGCGAGGCCAUCUUUCGGCGAUAAAUCUUUGACAUUCAGACCAUGCGAUCCAAAUGUAUCAUGCGGUAUUAGCAGUCGUUUCCAACUGUUCGUCCCCCUCCGAAAGGCAGGUUCCUCACGUCGUUACU
rnacentral:rRNA from 1 species